UACAGAGGGUGCGAACGUUGUUCGGAAUUACUGGGCGUAAAGCGCAUGUAGGCGGCAGCGCAAGUCGGGCGUGAAAUCCCACGGCUCAACCGUGGAAGUGCACUCGAAACUGCGCAGCUAGAGUCCUGGAGAGGAAGGUGGAAUGCUUGGUGUAGAGGUGAAAUUCGUAGAUAUCAAGCGGAACACCGGUGGCGAAGGCGGCCUUCUGGACAGUGACUGACGCUGAGAUGCGAAAGCGUGGGGAGCAAACAGG
rnacentral:rRNA from 1 species